AUGACAUUGGACAGUCUUCAUCCUCAGCAAUCACUGGCUCUUCCUUGACAUGGAUUGAGUGUCUGAAAAAAGAAUGGGAAAGGUCCUGCAUGAAGAAUCACAACUAAGGAAGAAGAGCAGGAGGGGUCAAAAGACAGCUGGCUAAAAGUUAUGGAACAGAAUGGGACAUGUUCAGGGAACAGAAGACUUGCUUGCUAACUGUUUGAAAACCUGGACAAGGUCAAGUUUAGUUUCUCAUCAUCCAAGCAGGAAUUGUAUGACCAUAAAGAAAACAGUGAGAGACAAGCAAUGAAAAAAGGGUGAUACAGAAGAACAGAGGAUGAAAAAGGCAACUAAAGAGUACCUGUCCCAGGAGAUGCAAUAUACUACUUGACCUUUAUUCUCUAGAUUUGAUUUGUUUGGAAUGCAGCAGGUAAUAUUGAGACUUGGUACUCAUGAAUAGGGAUACAAUUGAAAGUUAGUAAUUUCCACCUCAAAACCUCUUACACAGCUAGCACUCUAAAAUAUUGUCACUGAAGAGAAAGUAUUUUCCAGUUUGGCUUAUAUAAAUACCCUGCAGAUUUCCAAUAUAGUUAAUUUGGCAGUUGGACAAAGGUCAUGAAAUGUUCAAUUUUCAUAUUAAAAGAGGUCAUGUUUUGUAGAAACACUUGUUCUUUACUCUGGGGGGAUGAAUCAGAAAGGGGCAUGUGGGCUGCUUUGAACAUGGCAGAAAACAGAGGAAGAAGAAAGAUAACCUGAAAUUCUUUCAAGAGGAGCAGGAAGCUGCAAAAGAGUCAGAUGCCUUGUAGAUUGCCAGGGAUUAAACAGAACAACCAAAGAGGGUUAAUGGGAUUUCAGGAAAACCAAAAUAUCCUUGAAAUGAUCACUUGUAUAGGCAUAAAGUGUGCUCUGGAUGGUGGAA